rnacentral:lncRNA from 1 species
UGUCAUGAAACUCAAAAAAAAAAAAAAAAAAAAAAAAAAUACCACUGAAAACCAAAUUCACACAUAAUCUAAAUAAAGAAACUCAUGGAUGGCUUUUUACCAGAGGUUGUGCUUGUUGUGAAGUCUAUGGUAGGUAGAUUUGGUAAAUACCAAUAGCAGUUGUCUAUAAUGAUUGUUGAUAAUCUAAUCAUGGUGUGAAUAGGGUUUUCUCUUUUUAUUCUUAAGAUUAGGCUCCAAUACAAUUUGAAGAAUGGUCCUUGUAAAUCACAAAAGAUUUAGAUAAUGCCAAAUACAACCACACAGAGUGAUUAACGGGGAUGAUAUGAGGUGAAUUUGGGGUUCUAGUUGAAUCCAAACAAAAGAAGCAGAGGCACCUAUGUACAAAUGCGAGGAUGAAAAGAUUACGAGUGGGCGUUUGGAUGUUGAUUAUCUAAUCAAGUCACAAUACAAACAACAACUGUGCCCAGUAAAUCCCACAAAUAGCAAACCUAUUGGUAGGGUCUGGGAGGGUGGAUGUAGGCAAAAGUUACCUCUAUCCCUAGGAAUAAACCCCCGGCACCUCUUCACAUGAUCAACUCACAAUAGUAAGUACAAAAUGUUUAAACAAAAUUAUUCUUCUUAUGAUCAUCUAAUUUAAUUGUAUUUUCCCUUAUUUAUAAUCAGUUCCAUACUUCUACAACAGAACAGACUAUUAGAUAUAAUAAAAUAACAAGACUCAAACUCCCAUUUCACAAUCUGCCUCUCCUUUUCUAGUAAAAAAAGUGUCUUUUUGGUCAUGUUAUCUAUUAAUUCCUAAAAACAUUCCAUUAUCUGUUUAUCAAAACUUCAAACAGAAGAGUGCAUCCAAACCAUAGUUAUUAAAAGCCAUCGCCUCUUGCGCCUAGGCCCAAUUUCCUAGCGAGGGAGGCAAUUGCGCCUUAAGUCAAGGCAGUUGCGCUUUGAUUCUCCAGGUGAUGGUUCAUGCACAGAUUCCGGCGAGAUUCCUAGAUUCUUGAGAGUUUUCGGCCAAAUUCUCUAAAUUCUGGCAAGAUUCUAGCUAGAUUUCUAUUUUUAUCAAACGAAACUACUUUUCUACACUAAUAAACUAGCAUUUUAUAACUUUUGGUACUAAAUAGACGAUAUUAACUGUUAUAUAAUAGCUUUAGAUUAUUUUAUUUGAAGAAUAGUAUUAAUUUUCUAUUAUAUAAAAAUAUUUUUAGUUUUUCUUUUUUGCUGUACGCUUUUUUUUUCUCAGGCCCGCGCUUUUUUUU